rnacentral:rRNA from 1 species
CCUACGGGGCGCAGCAGGCGCGAAAACUUUACAAUGCGGGAAACCGUGAUAAGGGGACACCGAGUGUCAGCAUCAUAUGCUGGCUGUCCAGGUGUGUAAAAUACACCUGUUAGCAAGGGCCGGGCAAGACCGGUGCCAGCCGCCGCGGUAACACCGGCGGCCCGAGUGGUGAUCGUGAUUAUUGGGUCUAAAGGGUCCGUAGCCGGUUUGGUCAGUCCUCCGGGAAAUCUGAUAGCUCAACUAUUAGGCUAUCGGGGGAUACUGCCAGGCUUGGAACCGGGAGAGGUAAGAGGUACUACAGGGGUAGGAGUGAAAUCUUGUAAUCCCUGUGGGACCACCCUGUGGCGAAGGCGCUUACCAGAACGGGUCGACGGUGAGGGACGAAAGCUGGGGGCACGAACCGGAUUAGAUACCCGGGUAGUCCCAGCCGUAAACGAUGCUCGCUAGGUGUCAGGCAUGGCGCGACCGUGUCUGGUGCC